rnacentral:sRNA from 1 species
AUGUAAUAGUAUCGGGUUUCUCAAGGGUGGUCGGCACACUCCCCGCUGAAAGGGGGUGGUGCUGAUUGACAGUUUUUGAAUCAUUAAUGUUUGCGAUUGGUUUCGCAAGUUUAAUCGUUGCUAUUCUGUCAUUUAAUAACCAUAAAAAAUAAUCCACCCUUGAGUUGAAUGGCCUUGGGUGGAUUAUUAUUCACACAAUGUCGAUCCCCCUUGAAGGGAACCUGCUAUUGCAUUAGACCGUGUGGUGUAGCAGCACCAGCG